UACAGAGGUCCCAAGCGUUGUUCGGAUUCAUUGGGCGUAAAGGGUGCGUAGGCGGCGCGGUAAGUCGGGUGUGAAAUCUCGGAGCUUAACUCCGAAACUGCAUUCGAUACUGCCGUGCUUGAGGACUGGAGAGGAGACUGGAAUUUACGGUGUAGCGGUGAAAUGCGUAGAUAUCGACCGGGAACUCCGGUGGCGAAGGCGAGGUGCUGGACCCUUUCUGACGCUGAUGCGCGAAAGCCAGGGGAGCAAACGGGG
rnacentral:rRNA from 1 species